rnacentral:tRNA from 1 species
GGAAAUGGGUGGUUUCGGUGAGAACAAAGCGUGGGCAAGCCGCAAGGCGGUCCUAAAUUAUUCAAUCACUUAGAUUGUCCACACCACGUUCGGGACGUGGGGGUCGCAGGUUCAAAUCCUGCCACUCCG